rnacentral:rRNA from 1 species
AUUGAACGCUGGCGGCAUGCCUAACACAUGCAAGUCGAACGGCAGCACAGUAAAGACUUAGGUUUUUAUGGGUGGCGAGUGGCGGACGGGUGAGUAACGCGUAGGAAUCUGUCCUGGAGAGUGGGAUAACCCGAGGAAACUCGGGCUAAUACCGUAUGAUAUCGAGAGAUCAAAAGCAGGGGACCCUUCGGGGCCUUGCGCUCUAGGAUGAGCCUACGUCGGAUUGGCUAGUUGGGGGGGUAAAGGCCUACUAAGGCGACGAUCCGUAGCUGGGCUGAGAGGAUGGCCAGCCACACUGGGACUGAGACACGGCCCAGACUCCUACGGGAGGCAGCAGUGGGGAAUCUUGGACAAUGGGGGAAACCCUGAUCCAGCGAUGCCGCGUGUGUGAAGAAGGCCUUCGGGUUGUAAAGCACUUUAGUUGGGGAAGAAAAGUAAUAAGUGAAUAAUUUAUUGCUCUGGCGGUACCCAAAGAAUAAGCACCGGCUAACUCUGUGCCAGCCGCCGCCGUAA